CGCCAAGUGCAUCAUGGUCUCGCUUCCUGUUUUACGUGCGGGCAAUGUGGAGAUAGUUAGCGUGGAGAGCAGUGUUGUGGGCGGUCCUGAUAAGUAGUAGGUGUCCGAGUGAGUGUUUUAGCUUGUGAAAUCCACGGGAAGGCUCACGUUGGUUUGCAGAAACAAAGGAGAACAACAGCUCCGAAGAGUGUCUCUAGGAUGGUUAUGCAAAUAGGCCAUCUGUCCACAGGGCGUGCUGCUACCAGGCUGCCCAACCACUCUCCACCACCCCGCCUGUCUGCUUCACCCUAUGAGCCCAGAGACACUGCUGAGGGAGUGAUCCCCUGUGGCCCUGCAACCAUGGCAACUCAUUCUACAGAUACCAACUAAAAGAAGUACAUGGAUUCCACAUUCAUCAGGACACAAACACAUAAUAAAUGACACUGUUACAAAUUA